CAGUCGCCGCGGUAAUACAGAGGAUGCAAGCGUUGUCCGGAAUAAUUGGGCGUAAAGCGUCUGUAGGUGGCUUUUCAAGUCCGCCAUCAAAUCCCAGGGCUCAACCCUGGACAGGCGGUGGAAAGUACCAAGCUGGAGUACGGUAGGGGCAGAGGGAAUUUCCGGUGGAGCGGUGAAAUGCGUUGAGAUUGGAAAGAACACCAACGGUGAAAGCACUCUGCUGGGCCGACACUGACACUGAGAGACGAAAGCUAGGGGAGCAAAUGGGAUUAGAUACCCCGUAGUCCCUGUCUCUUAUACC
rnacentral:rRNA from 1 species